rnacentral:rRNA from 1 species
UCCGUAGGGUGCAAGCGUUGUCCGGAAUUAUUGGGCGUAAAGAGCUCGUAGGCGGUUUGUUGCGUCGGCUGUGAAAUCCCGAGGCUCAACCUCGGGUCUGCAGUCGAUACGAGCAAACUAGAGUGUUGCAGGGGAGACUGGAAUUCCUGGUGUAGCGGUGAAAUGCGCAGAUAUCAGGAAGAACACCUAUGGCGAAGGCAGCUCUCUGGGACGGUACUGACGCUGAGACGCGAAAGCGUGGGGAGCGAACAGG